rnacentral:rRNA from 1 species
AUACGUAGGGUGCGAGCGUUGUCCGGAAUGAUUGGGCGUAAAGGGCGCGUAGGCGGCCCGGUAAGUCUGGAGUGAAAGUCCUGUUUUUAAGGUGGGAAUUGCUUUGGAUACUGUCGGGCUUGAGUGCAGGAGAGGUAAGUGGAAUUCCCAGUGUAGCGGUGAAAUGCGUAGAGAUUGGGAGGAACACCAGUGGCGAAGGCGACUUACUGGACUGUAACUGACGCUGAGGCGCGAAAGUGUGGGGAGCAAACAGGAUUAGAUACCCUGGUAGUCCACACUGUAAACGAUGAAUGCUAGGUGUAAGAGGUAUCGACCCCUUUUGUGCCGGAGUCAACACAAUAAGCAUUCCGCCUGGGGAGUACGGCCGCAAGGUUGAAACUCAAAGGAAUUGACGGGG